AAGAGGUGGAGGAGCAGAAUUGGGGAGGUAGAGGAAGGCAGAGUAAGAGAAGGGAUGGUUUGGGGACAAGGAGAGGAGGAGGAGGAAGUGGAGGAGGAUCAGAGUAGGGUAGUUGGAGGAGGGGAGGAGAGGAGGAGGGGAUGAGGUGGUGGAAGAGUAGAUUGAUGAGGUGUGAGCCGCGCAGGGACGGUAGCGUCGGUGAGUGAAACAGGUCAUCCGUCUCGUCUUAGUCUCCCGCACGGCCCUGCCCGCCCCGCUCCCUGCCGCCGCUGCCUUCACCACCACGAAGAGAGAAAAGAGGACGAGGAAAAAGCCUUUGUGUCGCUACCUCGCCGUCAAUACUGCACCUCGCUGAAGCCUCGCCGUCCCAUUGUCCUGCCUCGCGACCCUCCUGGCAGGCAGAUGUUUGAUGGAUGAGCGACGCGCACUGCCAGCCUUCGAUAUGUAAGGAAACCUGAGGGGGUGUAUUGGGUGUCACUGCGUCGGACUUUAGGCCACGCGCACGCACACACACUCACCAGCAAGCAUAAGGGUUUGUCACUGCCCUGGAACCUUUGAAAGCCGCGCCAAGACCCAUUCAUUUGUAUCGUGAAGUUGCUCCGGGUACACCGCGAGGGAGGACGGUCCACUGCCAGGCACUCAUCACUAGACAUCUACCCCAGGGACAGGCUUGGAGGCAGCAACACACCACCAUGCGCGGCGGCGCCUCUGCCUGGGCGGCAGUGGUGCUCGCUGCCUGCAGCAUUCACCUCCAACAGCCACGUCGCGGGGUCGUCGGCGUGGAAGUGCUGACCUUCCAAGAGGAUCGCCUGGUCUCGGGCAGCACACAGGCGUUGUACAAGGGCAAGCUGGAGACCGCGCGGCAGCUCGGUUCUGUUACCCUCUGUGGCAGGAUCUUUUUCUUCACCUUGCAUUCCUGGGCCACCUUCUUCAGACUCACCAACACCAAUGGUGUGAGAAGCAUACUAG